rnacentral:rRNA from 1 species
AUGGAUAAAAUACCUUCCGAUUGCCCUUAUCCUGGAUGUUUCUUCUGUGUUAUGAAGGAAGCAAACCCUAGCAAACGAAGAGCAAGUGUGCUGAAAUUCUUUAGAGAACUUCCUUCCCAAGAUGAUGAUGGCCAAGUUCUCCCUAUUAGUGGCCUUUGGAACACUGCCAUGGCACACCCAAAUGACCCUGAAUUCAUCAACUUGGGGAUAUUUGAGUGCAUGGCAGCUCUAAUAUGGAAGGGCCUGAAAAACAGGCGUUGGCUUUCACAUGAUCAGAAUAUUUACAUCCCAUAUUAUGCAGCACAUGUUAUUGGAUCAUAUACGAUGAAUAUGGAGGAGUUUGCAGAACGUGCUGUUCGUGCCGGAGUAAUACCUCCAUUAGUUGAACUCUUAAGAGGUAGGCUGACCUGGGUGGAGCAAAGAGUUGCUGUCAGAGCUUUGGGGCAUUUGGCUACAUACCCUAGUACAUUCCCUGCUGUUGCUGAUCAUGGAGAAGUGCUUGAACUUGCAAUUCAACUUGCCUCAAGCUCUCUAGAAAUUGUGUACUCUCACUUUUACCAAUUCGUAGAUCGAAGGCUUGGCUACCACUGUGAUCUUCUUACACGUGGUAUGGGUGGUGCUGAAAUGGAAUCUCGUAAAGCUGAGGAAUGGGCUAGCCAACUGCAGUGCUGGUCUUUGCAGCUCAUAAACUGCUUUGCAUUUAAGCCUGAGUUUCUCCAUGAUAUCUGCAAGCCUGAAUUUCUAGCUAAGUUACCUGGUAUGUGGGGUGGGCUUGUGAAUGAGAACUCACCUGCUGGUGUUGGUUUACUAAGAACAAUCUGCCAGAGCAAGCUUGGACAAGGUCAUGUUGCUAAUAUUUCUGGUGUCAUCGAAGCUUUAUGCAACAUUGCUCGUUCUUCAGAUGACUGGCAAUACAUGGCCAUUGAUUGUCUACUCUGGUUAGUGCAGGAUCCUAGUACAUAUCAUAAGGUUAUAGAUAAAAUCGCCCCGACACUGAUAGAUUUAGCGGAUAUUUCCACACUCGGUGAUUACAAAAGGCUGGGUGACACUAUUGUCACAGUCCUCCAAGAGUGUAUGCAACAAAAUGGGAACUCACGGAACUCAAUUAGUAGUCACACCAAAGAAGAAAUUGAUGAACUGUUGAGUUUCAAGCAGAAACUGAAAUCGGAAAAGAAUAUGCCAAAGGAAGAUCUUCAUAUAAAACAAGCUGCAGCAUUAGUUGUAAAAUUGGAAGGUAAUUCUCUGUUCUCUUCAGGAAAUAUUGAAGGAGCUGCAGCGAAGUACUCUGAAGCACUCGCAUUGUGUCCAAUGAAGUCCAAGAAAGAAAGAGUGGUGCUUCAUAGCAACCGAGCUCAAUGUUAUCUUCUCCUGCAGCAACCUUUAGCUGCCAUCAGUGAUGCUACCCGUGCAUUGUGCCUUCAUAGUCCGUUGAAUCGACAUGCCAAAAGUUUGUGGAGAAGAGCUCAAGCAUAUGAUAUGCUUGGUUUAGCAAAAGAGAGCCUGCUGGAUGCAAUUCUGUUUAUAAAUGAAUGCUCUCAGUCCAGUGAUCCUGAUCUAUCCUUGAGGCAAAACAAGGUUCCUGAUUACGCUGAGCGAUUGGUAAAGAAGCAGAUGCGUGCUGCUUGGUUAUUCAGGGAAUCAUCCCUAAAACAUGGUGGAAUCCAUUGUGAGGGAGAUGCUAGUGAUGCAUUUCGGCAAGAGGCUGAUGACUCUGAGUGGGAGACAGUGAGUGAAAGCGAUGGUGAGGAUGAUGAAAGGAGGGGAGCAGAUGAUGAAACUGAAUGGAAGAGUGGUGGUCACAGGGAAGAUGCGUACGAGAAAAGCUGA